ensembl:lncRNA
ACGGCAUGUUUGAUCACUGGCAAAAGCAGUCCAGAAGAGAGGGAAAAUUGCAGGAGAAAGAAAGGAUGUCUCUAGGAGUGAUGGCCUAGAACAACCAAGGGAGAAGGGUGCAGAUUACCCAGGACAAAGGCAGGUGGAUUGAAAGGUGUGCUAGCCCAAGUGUUUAUUCUCUUCUCUUCUGUUUGCAUUGUUUCCUAGGUGAAAUGUGAAGCAAGCUCAUCACCAGAGAGGCCAGUGAGGAUGUUGGAAGGUGGAAAGAUAAGAGCACGUGUGAUAUUGUCAACUAGGAGACAGGGAAGGUGAUGGAUGAGGGAAGCGUAGUGUUGUAGAUUGCUGGGGAGCAUUGAGGGCCCACUUGAGCUUGGCCAGUCAGGAACCUAAAGUAAGGCGGUUAUUAUGGUCCAUGUUUCUCUCCAGCUAGGCUCAGGUGUCUAGGUGGAGCACAGGAGGAGAGGAGGAAGAUGAGGACAUGUAUGCUCAAAGAACGAAAUCUAUUAGAAAGAAUGAAAGCUUGCAAAUAGUCCUGACAUCGCAGUCCAAAAUCCCAAAUAGAACACAAAGUGGAUGAACCCAAGUUGCCUCUGCUCCCUGAGCCUCCAUUUCUCACCUAUAAAAUGGGGAUCAUAGCCCACCUCACAGGACAUUUAUGAAAAUGAAAUUACAGAUGUGAAAGUAAUUUAUGAAAUUGAAGCAAGGCAUCAUUUAUAAGCCAAAACGCUACUUGUAAAUACUUUGUUAGUCCAAUUUGAGUUACUCUUUGUUCUUGAAAGUCAAAAUUGCAUUUCUUUAAAACAGUACUCUAGAAUUAAAAAUGUUUCUUUAUUUUAGACUAGCAGUCCUUCCACAAGUGAAUGACACCCUGAGGUUUUCUGGUCCCUAGCUAACUCAUCGGGUGUUUAAUUGACACCCUUUCACUACUUUACUCCAUUCACCAAAAAGAGAUGCCUUAGGCAAGCCAUUGGGUGAAGGUGGGGGAUGCUGUAAAGGUGACUAAGACUUGGGCUCAAAAUGUGAGAAGCUCAAAAUCUAGUGAAUAAUUUGAAAGUCUGCAUUUGUGAAGCUCCUAGAGGUCUGGAACUCUCUCUCCAAUUUGCUUUGCCUGGUGAUGACCACUGCACAACGCAAAAGAGAGAAAUUCUCAGUAGACGGGUCAGACACUCUCCCGCUGACACCUCCCAAGCUGCAGUGUUUCACAGCUUAUAAGUCACUUUAAAUCGUGGUCUUGCUUGUUCUUUGCAAUCACCUGCAAGUGCGUGGAGUGGAGAUGCUCAUCCUGCUUCACAGAACAGGGAGACUAAGACUUGUCCAGGGACCCAGAGCCAGUAAGUGACAGAGCCUUCUUUCCAGACCAACUGUCUUUCCACUGCCUCAUGGGACUUGUGGCCACAUGGGACUAGAGCCCAGUUUUCAGGCACACUACCAGUGGGUAGGUAUCAUCGACUUAAAGAGUAGGUGGCACGGUACUAAGGAAGCGCACUCUGUUGGAGAAGGUGGAGAGCGCUCCAUAGAAGCUGAGCACGAUUCUCAGAACAUUCCCACUCUGCAAAUCAUGGCCUAUCCUGAGACCCUUUUCAUGUGCUCUUGACAUCUGGGGAAAAGAAUAGAAAGAGCAUUGGCCCCAAAUUUAGAAACUUGGGUCUUCAUUCUGCUUCCACCACUCACUGUGGCCUUUUCUUCUUCCCAUGCUUCAUUAGCCUCAUUUGUAGCAUGAGGAGGCUGGCUUCUGACAUCCCAGACCCCUCCAGCCCUGACUCUCUGGUUCAUCUGUGUCUGCUCCUGCAGGUCAGGUGUGCUUCUGACCUGGGUCCUCUCAAGAGCCUCACGACUGAGAAGCAUGAACAACAGACCUCAGUGGCUCUGGUCCACGGAAGCAAUGAAGGAAAAGACUUUGGGUACCGAUUAUCCAUUAGCCCUUUAGAAGUCCCCUGGAAAAGACACUG